AUACCUUUCUCGGCCUUUUGGCUAAGAUCAAGUGUAGUAUCUGUUCUUAUCAGUUUAAUAUCUGAUAUGUGGGCCAUUGGCUCACAUGAUAUUAAAUUAAUAUUUUGAAUGGGAGGUCCCAUCAUAGGAGCUUGCUUCUAGGGAUUUCAAUUGUCGCUCGAGCCUUGCACUAUAACUUGAGUUUGGCAAACCCUAU
rnacentral:snRNA from 1 species